rnacentral:rRNA from 1 species
GGACCCGCACAAGCGGUGGAUGAUGUGGUUUAAUUCGAUGCAACGCGAAAAACCUUACCCACCUUUGACAUGUACGGAAUCCUUUAGAGAUAGAGGAGUGCUCGAAAGAGAACCGUAACACAGGUGCUGCAUGGCUGUCGUCAGCUCGUGUCGUGAGAUGUUGGGUUAAGUCCCGCAACGAGCGCAACCCUUGUCAUUAGUUGCUACAUUUAGUUGGGCACUCUAAUGAGACUGCCGGUGACAAACCGGAGGAAGGUGGGGAUGACGUCAAGUCCUCAUGGCCCUUAUAGGUGGGGCUACACACGUCAUACAAUGGCUGGUACAGAGGGUUGCCAACCCGCGAGGGGGAGCCAAUCCCAUAAAGCCAGUCGUAGUCCGGAUCGCAGUCUGCAACUCGACUGCGUGAAGUCGGAAUCGCUAGUAAUCGCGGAUCAGAAUGUCGCGGUGAAUACGUUCCCGGGUCUUGUACACACCGCCCGUCACACCAUGGGAGCGG